rnacentral:rRNA from 1 species
UACGUAGGGGGCAAGCGUUGUCCGGAAUUAUUGGGCGUAAAGAGCGUGUAGGCGGCCAGGUAGGUCCGCUGUGAAAGUCCGAGGCUCAACCUCGGAAUGUCGGCGGAAACCCUCUGGCUAGAGUCCGGAAGAGGAGAGUGGAAUUCCCGGUGUAGUGGUGAAAUGCGUAGAUAUCGGGAGGAACACCAGUGGCGAAGGCGACUUCCUGGCCUGUUCUUGACGCUGAGGCGCGAAAGCUAGGGGAGCAAACGGG